rnacentral:rRNA from 1 species
AACCUUACCAAGGUUUGACAUCCCUCGCAAAGCUAUAGAAAUAUAGUAGAGGUUAUCGAGGUGACAGGUGGUGCAUGGCUGUCGUCAGCUCGUGUCUUGAGAUGUUUGGUUAAGUCCCGCAACGAGCGCAACCCCACUCUUUAGUUACUUGUCUAAAGAGACUGCACAGUAAUGUAGAGGAAGGAUGGGAUCACGUCAAGUCAUCAUGCCCCUUAUGCCUUGGGCUGCAAACGUGCUACAAUGGCGAACACAAUGUGUUGCAAACCAGUCGAUGGU